UACGUAGGUUGCAAGCGUUGUCCGGAUUUAUUGGGUUUAAAGGGUGCGUAGGCGGCUGUUUAAGUCAGUGGUGAAAGCCGAUCGCUUAACGAUCGAACUGCCAUUGAUACUGAAUAGCUUGAGUACAGAUGAGGUAGGCGGAAUUGACAGUGUAGCGGUGAAAUGCAUAGAUAUUGUCAAGAACACCGAUUGCGAAGGCAGCUUACUAAAGUGUCACUGACGCUGAGGCACGAAAGUGCGGGGAUCAAACAGG
rnacentral:rRNA from 1 species